UACGUAGGCAGCGAGCGUUGUUCGGCGUUACUGGGCGUAAAGCGUGCGUAGGCGGUGGUCCGAGUCUGGUGUGAAAUCUCCCGGCUUAACUGGGAGGGUGCGCCGGAAACUGGGCCGCUGGAGUACGGGAGAGGCAAGCGGAAUUCCAGGUGUAGCGGUGAAAUGCGUAGAUAUCUGGAGGAACACCCGUGGUGCAGACGGCUUGCUGGACCGUGACUGACGCUGAGGCACGAAAGCGUGGGUAGCAAACAGG
rnacentral:rRNA from 1 species